GGGUGAGUAAUGCAUAGGAAUCUGCCUGGUAGUGGGGGACAACGUUUCGAAAGGAACGCUAAUACCGCAUACGUCCUACGGGAGAAAGCAGGGGACCUUCGGGCCUUGCGCUAUCAGAUGAGCCUAGGUCGGAUUAGCUAGUUGGUGAGGUAAUGGCUCACCAAGGCGACGAUCCGUAACUGGUCUGAGAGGAUGAUCAGUCACACUGGAACUGAGACACGGUCCAG
rnacentral:rRNA from 1 species